rnacentral:rRNA from 1 species
GAUGAACGCUGGCGGCGUGCCUAAUACAUGCAAGUAGAACGCAGUUGCGAACGGGUGAGCAACGCGUAGGUAACUGCCUGGUAGCGGGGGAUAACUAUUGGAAACGAUAGCUAAUACCGCAUACUACCAGAUGGACCUGCGUUGUAUUAGCUAGUUGGUGAGGUAACGGCUCACCAAGGCAACGCUACAUAGCCGACCUGGGAGGGUGAUCGGGCACACUGGGACUGAGAAAAGGCCCAGACUCCUACGGGAUGCAGCAAUAGGGAAUCUGCGGCAAUGGGGGGAACCCUGGCCGAGCAACGCCGCGUGAGUUAAGAAGGUUUUCGGAUCGUAAAGCUCUGUUGUUAAGGAAGCGGUACUUGACCAGAAAGGGACGGCUAACUACGUGCCAGCAGCCGCGGUAAUAC